UCAGUGUUCAGCUUUAGCCAUGUAAUUGUGAUAAGAAUAUGAUUUGUCAUGUUGAACGCCAUGACCAAGGGAAUGUGUCAAUGUCUUCCUUGAAUGACAUAGGUUCCAAAAUCAUUUUUCAUGAUUUGAUUUUCAAGUUCCUCUGAAGACACUGUGAUUAUCCUACCCAUGGGAGUGAGUAAAGUCCAUAGAGGGUUAUGAGGUAAGUGCUGAGGUACCCUAAACCAGAUCUUCAUCUAUAGAGGAAAGGGAUGAGGGUGUCCUGACUAUUACUAGAUUUAGUGGUCACUGCUCCUAUAAGAAAUAAUUUUGUCCUUCACAGUUCUAGUAAAUAUGAGUUUAUCCUUUAUAUGCCAUAGGGAAAAUUGGUGUUUUAGCAAGGACUGCUGAGGGAGUGAUUAUGAACUGGUUAAUUGAAAUUAUUGUGGAACUCUAGGACUGCAGUAAGCAUAGGUUAAUUUCCAGGGUGUGGAGAUGACAAAAUAUGGGCUCUCUGACAAUACUGUUUUUGUUUGGUGAAUCCAAGUAUCCUGAGGAGUUUAGCUGUCCUUUAGCAAUGGACAUUAAAAAGGGAGUGGGCUCAUGUUCUGACACAGCACCUUCUAUGCCAAACUGGCUUUGUAUUUUUUUCAGAUGCCCUUCAAGAGAACACAGUGAUCCAGAAAAGAUGGUUGUUGCAGUCACCCUAGUAACAAGUGAUGGGUCCAGACCUCACAGCCAGGAAAGGCCAGACCCUGGAACCUCACCAGGAUCCAGAUAGCAGCAAGUAUGGCCUCCAUCACAGCACAGGAAAUGGAUCUUCCUAGGCUUCAGUGGAGCAUGUUGGGGCCCUGAGUGUAGCCGAUACCAUAUUUUGUGUGAAUAAAUUCAAGUAUAAAAGACUAACAAAUCAGAAAUCUAGUCUGUGUGAGUUUUCUUUUUGUAUAGGGUAGGGAAAGUACUGUUCAAGGUCCCUGUGUCCUGGGAUUGCUUGCUUACUAUAUGCAGUGACAUGCUUGAGUACCAGACUGCUGAGAAAGAAGCACAGGUAACUUGCAGGCACCCACUUGAUGAGGAUCAGAGCCUUGGGAUGAUAUUCUUCCCUCAGUUUCAAUCUGGUAUGCGGUGGAGUGGAAGCCUCCCACACCAGUGGUGGUUGUCAAUGAAUCGAGCAUGUUGUAUGCUUGCAGAACAUGCUGUAUCCUUUUAGCAUGGUCUUGUUCCUUUUCCCUUCAUGGAUACAGAGUGAUCAAGAAGUUGGUUGAUGUACACUUAUGGAAGGCCAGGGAAAUACCACCAUGGGUACAAGCUGAUCACUAGGCCAGAUGUCUGUAUCCAGGUCAGAAGGAGCCUCUGGCUAACCUGGUAUUAACAUGUUUCAUCACCAGGUAUCCUGCCAAAAGGUCUUGGGAGAUGCUGCUACCCUCAGCCAUGCAACACCUUCUUCUUUACUGAUGUACAUUGUGGGAGGGCACUUGGGCACACUUUGCUUUUCCCCACUGAUUCACCUGUGUGCCAGUGAAGGUGAAAUCUUCCCAGUGGCUGCUGGUAAGUGUCCCAUUUUCAUGUAGGGGAACUGACCCGUAAUGUAGUUUUCAUGUUGGCUAGGUGGAUGGGGAGGCCAGGAUUCUUGCUAACAUCCACUAUGAAUAUUGAGCCUUAGAACUUCUGCAGGUUUCCCUUCAAGUGAGAAAGAAUUCUCUUACCAUAUUUUUUCUAGGAAACACCCCUGAGACUGAGGUGUUAAAGCAAAGGGGCCACAGUCUAACACAGUGACCUCCACAAUACUCACAUGGGGGACUCGCAUGGACUAAAUCAGUAUUCUCUGAUGUCAUUUUCACAGGGACAGUCAUGUCACAGUGAGCAGCACAGUAUAAUCAGGUGGAUGCAUACAGACAUCCAGGUUCCUUCAAGGGAAGAUGAGCAGACUAUGGCUGGAACUGCAUGCAGGUGUCAGUGAGGGAGUCCACAGCUCAUGGUGAGCCCUGAACAUCACCAGGAUCUGUAUAAGGACAGCCAUGGACCUUCACUGCAGCAUAGGCAGGGAAUAUCCAUGGCCUUCACUAAGUGAUAUUGGGGUCCCUGAUGUGGAGUCGUGGGGUAGUGGGGUUGCUGUGACUUUGCUUUAGGUUCUGGAGCCCAGGAGAGCAAUGAAGGAAGAACUGAGCCAAUCCACUGACCCUGAAUUUUUCCUUCGUGUAUAGUGAAGUAAAAUGAAUGUUGAUCUUCUCUACAUCCUUGGAGUGCUUAUUCUUUGGUCCAGUGGUGUUGUGAUGGACCACCCUGCCCAGGAGAAAGCACAGAAUUCUUUGCAGGUCAGUAGUUGAUGAUAAUGAGUCUCAGGAUGAGAGUUUUGCACUCAAAUUGCUUCUGGUAUCAGAGUGAAGAGAAAGCCUUUGUGCCAGUGGUGAUGCCAGAGCACAGCCCAGUGUUCUUGCAGAGCAAAGGAUAAGGUUUUAGCAGGGUGUGGUUUGCCUUCCUUUCAGAUAUCUGCAGUGAUGAAAAAAUGUUUGUUGUGGUGAGAUUGCUGAUGAUAGAUGAGACCUCUGUGCAUGUAGCCUGGCUACAGGGCAUGAUAUUCCUUAGAAAGGUAAAAAAUGAGCCUCUACAUAACCUGGCCAUGUGAUGUUUUUUCACCAUGAAUGCUGCUAAGGGCCAGAGUCAUGAUCAGGUCUUGUGAGAUCUUCAGCCAUGGAAUAUCUUAGUUUUUUCUGAUGAACUUUGGAGAAGGGACUUUUCUUUUCCCUGCUGUUUGACAUGUAUGUCAGUGGAGGUAAAACAAUAGAGACUUCUCAAUGGCUAUGAGGCUGCAUCCCAUUGUCAUGUAGAAUGGCUGGACCAUUCUUCAUGGCCAAAUGUGCUUUUCAUGCUCACAGUCAGAGAGAGGAAGGUAGAAAUUAUUGAUAGUAUCCAAAUAUUCAUCACUAUAGUUAUUGACCCUCAGAACUUCUUCAUAUUUUCAUUUAAGGGAGAAAGAAUUCUCUUAGCAGGCUUUAUCCUUGGAGUUCUAGGAAAGACCCAUGUCUUUAAGCAAGUAAGUAGUUG
ensembl:lncRNA